CUACGGGAGGCAGCAGUGGGGAGUUUUCGGCAAUGGGGGGAACCCUGACCGAGCAACGCCGCGUGAGUGAUGACGGUCUUCGGAUUGUAAAGCUCUGUGGUAGGGGAGGAAAGAGUGAUCG
rnacentral:rRNA from 1 species